rnacentral:tRNA from 1 species
GAAAUAUAAUCAAGAAGCUUCUAACUUCUAAUUUAGCAUUAACAUGUUAAUAUUUCU